AGAGUUUGAUCAUGGCUCAGAUUGAACGCUGGCGGCAGGCCUAACACAUGCAAGUCGAACGGUAACAGGAAGAAGCUUGCUUCUUUGCUGACGAGUGGCGGACGGGUGAGUAAUGUCUGGGAAACUGCCUGAUGGAGGGGGAUAACUACUGGAAACGGUAGCUAAUACCGCAUAACGUCGCAAGACCAAAGAGGGGGACCUUCGGGCCUCUUGCCAUCGGAUGUGCCCAGAUGGGAUUAGCUUGUUGGUGGGGUAACGGCUCACCAAGGCGACGAUCCCUAGCUGGUCUGAGAGGAUGACCAGCCACACUGGAACUGAGACACGGUCCAGACUCCUACGGGAGGCAGCAGUGGGGAAUAUUGCACAAUGGGCGCAAGCCUGAUGCAGCCAUGCCGCGUGUAUGAAGAAGGCCUUCGGGUUGUAAAGUACUUUCAGCGGGGAGGAAGGGAGUAAAGUUAAUACCUUUGCUCAUUGACGUUACCCGCAGAAGAAGCACCGGCUAACUCCGUGCCAGCAGCCGCGGUAAUACGGAGGGUGCAAGCGUUAAUCGGAAUUACUGGGCGUAAAGCGCACGCAGGCGGUUUGUUAAGUCAGAUGUGAAAUCCCCGGGCUCAACCUGGGAACUGCAUCUGAUACUGGCAAGCUUGAGUCUCGUAGAGGGGGGUAGAAUUCCAGGUGUAGCGGUGAAAUGCGUAGAGAUCUGGAGGAAUACCGGUGGCGAAGGCGGCCCCCUGGACGAAGACUGACGCUCAGGUGCGAAAGCGUGGGGAGCAAACAGGAUUAGAUACCCUGGUAGUCCACGCCGUAAACGAUGUCGACUUGGAGGUUGUGCCCUUGAGGCGUGGCUUCCGGAGCUAACGCGUUAAGUCGACCGCCUGGGGAGUACGGCCGCAAGGUUAAAACUCAAAUGAAUUGACGGGGGCCCGCACAAGCGGUGGAGCAUGUGGUUUAAUUCGAUGCAACGCGAAGAACCUUACCUGGUCUUGACAUCCACAGAACUUUCCAGAGAUGGAUUGGUGCCUUCGGGAACUGUGAGACAGGUGCUGCAUGGCUGUCGUCAGCUCGUGUUGUGAAAUGUUGGGUUAAAGUCCCGCAACGAGCGCAACCCUUAUCCUUUGUUGCCAGCGGUCCGGCCGGGAACUCAAAGGAGACUGCCAGUGAUAAACUGGAGAAAGGUGGGGAUGACGUCAAGUCAUCAUGGCCCUUACGACCAGGGCUACACGCGUGCUACAAUGGCGCAUACAAAGAGAAGCGACCUCGCGAGAGCAAGCGGACCUCAUAAAGUGCGUCGUAGUCCGGAUUGGAGUCUGCAACUCGACUCCAUGAAGUCGGAAUCGCUAGUAAUCGUGGAUCAGAAUGCCACGGUGAAUACGUUCCCGGGCCUUGUACACACCGCCCGUCACACCAUGGGAGUGGGUUGCAAAAGAAGUAGGUAGCUUAACCUUCGGGAGGGCGCUUACCACUUUGUGAUUCAUGACUGGGGUGAAGUCGUAACAAGGUAACCGUAGGGGAACCUGCGGUUGGAUCACCU
rnacentral:rRNA from 1 species